UGACACACAAGAAGUCUGCAACCUGGAAGGAGGCCUUCCCCCUAGCAUGCUGGCAUUCUGAUACCAGACUUCCAGCCUCCAGGACUGUGACCAAUUAAUGUCUGUUGUUGAUAAGCUACCCAGUCUGCAGUUUUUGUUACAGCGCCUGAAGGGACUAAGAAACAACCUCAUCCAGCUGCCGAUGCCAAUGACCGUGGGGCUUUGCGGUACAAGUUCUGACUGGAGACGCCAGUCCUUCCACAACUGAAGUGGAAGCCAGCCAGGCUGAGUUGCUUAGGAGACCAGCAAUGUAAGACUGCCAGAGAUGUGAAGGUGAAAAAGACAGUCCCUACCUUCAGGGAUCUCACAUCUUAGAACAGAGGCAAAUAAAGAGCACCAGACGCUAGCAAGGAUGGGGAGAGAGAGGAACUCUCCAUUCGUGGCCGGCGGGCACGCAAAACGGCAAAGGCACUUUGAAAGUUAGUUUGGCAGC